rnacentral:ncRNA from 63 species
UUGACCUCGGAUCAGGUAGGGAUA